UGAAGGAAACGGAAAGAGCCCGGCGGGGUGCAGGGGUAGGGCUUGCCCCGGGCGGUCCUGGAGGGUCGGGGCACUAUGGGUACCACUUUCUUGAAACGGAGGUGAGCUCCUCGGGCCUGACAACCCCUUCCCGGUGCCUCCGAGCCCGCCCUGCGUGGGAAACCGGCCUGAAGCCUUUCAAAUUUAAACAAAGCCAUGUCUGUGACUGUGGUUUGGAGUUAUCUAUUAGAGUCUGGUGGGCUCGUUAGAGGGUACAAAACUGGAGGCAAUGCACCCCUCCCACCAAGAAAUGGACAAUCUUCUAUUAGUGAGGCAUGGAGUCUCUCACUUUGAACUGUCUUACUAUUUUGCAGGGACACCAUCAUACUUAGAGGGCCAUUUUCUCUUAUUCUUGCUAAUGGUGAAGUACUUACAAACAAAACCAACCAGUCAAACAGACCCUUAAGGCAUUAAAGAAGAACGGCUUGAGAUGACACUCUUUGAACUCUGGGAAGAUGAGUGAGACGUUCUUGAGACUUGGCUAUAAGGGACUUUUCCUGCCACAGCCUGUUGAGAAGAUCAUAGGAAGAACUGAGGAAGAACGAAUCUGGCAGUAAAAUGAAGAUGAAGGUUGCAACAGCCUCCAAGAUCUCUUAGAUCCGUACCUAAUCCUCAGAAACUUGUUCUGGGGAAGGAGAGCUUGGACAAGAGAGAGAAGGAUCUAUCAUACUUUUAGCCUUAACAUGGGAAGUUUUAGUUGGUUUUAGUUUCAUUACAAUCAGAAAGACCUAAAUAGAUCUAUCACCACUGAAGCUAAAAUGAUUUAAAUAAAUCUGUUAGGGAAGAACAGAGAGGAGUAAUGGCCUGAAACUUUGCUUAAAACUGAAAACAAAGUAAUAUGAAAUAAAAACUGAAAGGAAGAAAAGGAGAACAGGGUGUGGGGGGAUUGUAUUGAUUAGUAUUGAUUAGUAUCCCAUUUAUCUGCUGAAAAAGAAAUCAACCUGGCCAAUCCAACCUGGGCUACAUAUUUUCUCCUACCCCUUGAAGUGAUAAAAUCCAAAGCUAUGUUCCUACAGCUCCAGACUAAACUGCUGUUCUUUUGAUACUUGGAAAAUGUGAUGGUUUGUAAUGAUUGGCCCAGGGAGUGGCACUAUUGGAGGGUGUGGCCCUGUUGGAGUAGU